GACGAACGCUGGCGGCGUGCUUAACACAUGCAAGUCGAACGGAAAGGCCCUGCUUGCAGGGUACUCGAGUUGCGAACGGGUGAGUAACACGUGGGUGAUCUGCCCUGCACUUCGGGAUAAGCCUGGGCAACUGGGUCUAAUACCGGAUAGGAGCCAUUUUUAGUGUGAUGGUUGGAAAGUUUUUUCGGUGUUGGGUGAGCUCGCGGCCUAUCAGCUUGUUGGUGGGGUAAUGGACUACCAAGGCGGCGACGGGUAGCCGGACUGAGGGGGUGGACGGCCACACUGGGACUGAGGGACGGCCCAGACUCCUACGGGAGGCAGAAGGGGGGAAUAUUGCACAAGGGGCGCAAGCCGGGUGCAGCGACGCCGCGGGGGGGAUGACGGCCUUCGGGUUGUAAACUACAUUCGCUAGGGACGAAGCUUUUUGUGACGGUACCUAGAUAAGAAGCACCGGCUAACUACGUG
rnacentral:rRNA from 1 species